rnacentral:rRNA from 1 species
AUUGAACACUGGCGGCAGGCUUAACACAUGCAAGUCGAACGAGUGGCGGCCGGGUGAGUAAUUCUUGGUAAUCUUGCUUAUGGAGGGGGAUAACUACCGGAAACUUUAGCUCAUCCCGCGUACCAUCGGUUGGCCCCCAGUGGGAUUAGGUAGUUGGUGAGGUAACGGGUCACCAAGCCGCCGAUCUCUAGCUGGUCUGAGAGGAUGACGCGCCACACUGGGACUGAGACACGGAUCAGAGUCCUACGGGAGGCAGCAGUGGGGAAUAUGGCGCAAUGGGGGCAACCGGACGCAGGCAUGCCGCGUGAAAGAAGAAGGCCGUCGAGUUGUAAAGUACUUUCGGUAGAGAGGCGUUAACUACAGAAGAAGCACCGGCUAAAUCCGUGCCAGCAGCCGCGGUAAUAC